CACUAUCGUUAACUGAAUACAUAGGUUAACGAGGCGAACCGGGGGAACUGAAACAUCUAAGUACCCCGAGGAAAAGAAAUCAACCGAGAUUCCCCCAGUAGCGGCGAGCGAACGGGGAGCAGCCCAGAGUCUGAAUCAGCUUGUGUGUUAGUGGAACGGUCUGGAAAGUCCGACGGUACAGGGUGAUAGUCCCGUACACCAAAAUGCACAGGCUGUGAACUCGAAGAGUAGGGCGGGACACGUGGUAUCCUGUCUGAAUAUGGGGGGACCAUCCUCCAAGGCUAAAUACUCCUGACUGACCGAUAGUGAACCAGUACCGUGAGGGAAAGGCGAAAAGAACCCCGGCGAGGGGAGUGAAAAAGAACCUGAAACCGUGUACGUACAAGCAGUGGGAGCACCUUCGGGUGUGACUGCGUACCUUUUGUAUAAUGGGUCAGCGACUUAUAUUCUGUAGCAAGGUUAACCGUAUAGGGGAGCCGCAGGGAAACCGAGUCUUAACUGGGCGUUAAGUUGCAGGGUAUAGACCCGAAACCCGGUGAUCUAGCCAUGGGCAGGUUGAAGGUUGGGUAACACUAACUGGAGGACCGAACCGACUAAUGUUGAAAAAUUAGCGGAUGACUUGUGGCUGGGGGUGAAAGGCCAAUCAAACCGGGAGAUAGCUGGUUCUCCCCGAAAGCUAUUUAGGUAGCGCCUCGUGAAUUCAUCUUCGGGGGUAGAGCACUGUUUCGGCUAGGGGGUCAUCCCGACUUACCAACCCGAUGCAAACUACGAAUACCGAAGAAUGUUAUCACGGGAGACACACGGCGGGUGCUAACGUCCGUCGUGAAGAGGGAAACAACCCAGACCGCCAGCUAAGGUCCCAAAGUCAUGGUUAAGUGGGAAACGAUGUGGGAAGGCACAGACAGCCAGGAUGUUGGCUUAGAAGCAGCCAUCAUUUAAAGAAAGCGUAAUAGCUCACUGGUCGAGUCGGCCUGCGCGGAAGAUGUAACGGGGCUAAACCAUGCACCGAAGCUGCGGCAGCGACGCUUAUGCGUUGUUGGGUAGGGGAGCGUUCUGUAAGCCUGCGAAGGUGACCUGUGAGGGUUGCUGGAGGUAUCAGAAGUGCGAAUGCUGACAUAAGUAACGAUAAAGCGGGUGAAAAGCCCGCUCGCCGGAAGACCAAGGGUUCCUGUCCAACGUUAAUCGGGGCAGGGUGAGUCGACCCCUAAGGCGAGGCCGAAAGGCGUAGUCGAUGGGAAACAGGUUAAUAUUCCUGUACUUGGUGUUACUGCGAAGGGGGGACGGAGAAGGCUAUGUUAGCCGGGCGACGGUUGUCCCGGUUUAAGCAUGUAGGCUGGUUGUCCAGGCAAAUCCGGAUAAUCAAGGCUGAGGUGUGAUGACGAGGCACUACGGUGCUGAAGUAACAAAUGCCCUGCUUCCAGGAAAAGCCUCUAAGCAUCAGGUAACAUUAAAUCGUACCCCAAACCGACACAGGUGGUCAGGUAGAGAAUACCAAGGCGCUUGAGAGAACUCGGGUGAAGGAACUAGGCAAAAUGGUGCCGUAACUUCGGGAGAAGGCACGCUGGUGUGUAGGUGAAGUCCCUGCGGAUGGAGCUGAGACCAGUCGAAGAUACCAGCUGGCUGCAACUGUUUAUUAAAAACACAGCACUGUGCAAACACGAAAGUGGACGUAUACGGUGUGACGCCUGCCCGGUGCCGGAAGGUUAAUUGAUGGGGUUAUCCGUAAGGAGAAGCUCUUGAUCGAAGCCCCGGUAAACGGCGGCCGUAACUAUAACGGUCCUAAGGUAGCGAAAUUCCUUGUCGGGUAAGUUCCGACCUGCACGAAUGGCGUAAUGAUGGCCAGGCUGUCUCCACCCGAGACUCAGUGAAAUUGAACUCGCUGUGAAGAUGCAGUGUACCCGCGGCAAGACGGAAAGACCCCGUGAACCUUUACUAUAGCUUGACACUGAACAUUGAGCCUUGAUGUGUAGGAUAGGUGGGAGGCUUUGAAGCGUGGACGCCAGUCUGCGUGGAGCCAACCUUGAAAUACCACCCUUUAAUGUUUGAUGUUCUAACGUUGGCCCCUUACCGGGGUUGCGGACAGUGUCUGGUGGGUAGUUUGACUGGGGCGGUCUCCUCCCAAAGCGUAACGGAGGAGCACGAAGGUUAGCUAAUCCUGGUCGGACAUCAGGAGGUUAGUGCAAUGGCAUAAGCUAGCUUGACUGCGAGCGUGACGGCGCGAGCAGGUGCGAAAGCAGGUCAUAGUGAUCCGGUGGUUCUGAAUGGAAGGGCCAUCGCUCAACGGAUAAAAGGUACUCCGGGGAUAACAGGCUGAUACCGCCCAAGAGUUCAUAUCGACGGCGGUGUUUGGCACCUCGAUGUCGGCUCAUCACAUCCUGGGGCUGAAGUAGGUCCCAAGGGUAUGGCUGUUCGCCAUUUAAAGUGGUACGCGAGCUGGGUUUAGAACGUCGUGAGACAGUUCGGUCCCUAUCUGCCGUGGGCGCUGGAGAAUUGAGGGGGGCUGCUCCUAGUACGAGAGGACCGGAGUGGACGCAUCACUGGUGUUCGGGUUGUCAUGCCAAUGGCACUGCCCGGUAGCUAAAUGCGGAAGAGAUAAGUGCUGAAAGCAUCUAAGCACGAAACUUGCCCCGAGAUGAGUUCUCCCUGAGACUUUAAGUCUCCUGAAGGAACGUUAAAGACGAUGACGUUGAUAGGCCGGGUGUGUAAGCGCAGCGAUGCGUUGAGCUAACCGGUACUAAUGAACCGUGAGGCUUAACCUU
rnacentral:rRNA from 1 species